ensembl:snoRNA SNORD18 Small nucleolar RNA SNORD18
CUCAGACGAUGGGAUUCCACUUCAUUGGUCUGUGUUUCUGAAACACAUGAUAACAGUGUAAGUUCUGAUGGC